rnacentral:tRNA from 1 species
GCGUAGAGGACUAGUGGUUAGGCCUCAGUGUUCUCACCGCUGCAGCCUGGGUUUGAUUCCCGGUCAGGGAA